GAGGGAGGGAGGAAGCUUGUGCGCACUCGCGCACGCACGCGAGAUCGCUCUACACGUGUAGAGACACAGAGAGAAAGGGAUUGGUUUUGUUGCUGAGCUGGGCAGACAGAAUCAGACAAUGACCACAUGGAAAGUGAAGACCAAGAAGCUUGGGAAGAAAAGAUCCCUGGUCAUAUGUUUGUCACCUUCAGGAACCUGUGAAGAAAUGCGAUGGGGGCAAUGGUAGCUUUGUCCUUUGGGACUUAAGGGGCAAACAUAACGGGCUCUGCAUUAACUUUCCUAUGUCAGCAAAAAUUCCACGGCGAAAUGGCGGUUUAUGUGACCUUUUCUCGAGGCUCCAGAAACAACUGCCUGAUUUCCUGUGCUUCGGCUCUUCUCGUUAUAUUUCCAA
rnacentral:lncRNA from 1 species